CCUCAAAGCCUGCCCCCCAACUUUUAGAAGCUUCCUACGCCCCUGUUCCGACGGGUCUCAACAAUAGGGAGGGCAUGACCCCCCCGGCCACGGCGCCACUGCGAGGCGUAUAUUUUCGACACAGAUAUCGGUCUCUUCGUCGCGGUGUGUAUCCAGUGGCAGUUGUGUCACUUCGUCGCGUCAUGCAUCUCCUCGACGCAACGUCAAACCAUGGAUAAUAAAAUUACCCAUGGUCAAACGAAGAGAUCACGUACUGGAUACAUGCCGCGAUGAAGAGAUCGAAAACAUACGCCUCGACGAAGUGAGACAUGAGACAUACAACGACGAAUUAUUAGACGCCGCGACGAACUCGAGAAACGAGUAAACGACUAGUUGACACGUCCAAAUGAACGACGAAC